rnacentral:rRNA from 1 species
UACGAAGGGGGGCUAGCGUUGCUCGGAAUGACUGGGCGUAAAGGGCGCGUAGGCGGUUUGGACAGUCAGAUGUGAAAUUCCUGGGCUCAACCUGGGGGGCUGCAUUUGAUACGUUCGGACUAGAGUGGGGAAGAGGGUCGUGGAAUUCCCAGUGUAGAGGUGAAAUUCGUAGAUAUUGGGAAGAACACCGGGUGGCGAAGGCGGCGACCUGGUCCUUGACUGACGCUGAGGCGCGAAAGCGUGGGGAGCAAACGG